rnacentral:rRNA from 1 species
AAGGCGACGAUCAGUAGCCGACCUGAGAGGGUGAUCGGCCACAUUGGAACUGAGACACGGUCCAAACUCCUACGGGAGGCAGCAGUGGGGAAUAUUGCACAAUGGGCGAAAGCCUGAUGCAGCAACGCCGCGUGAGUGAUGAAGGCCUUCGGGUCGUAAAACUCUGUCCUCAAGGAAGAUAAUGACGGUACUUGAGGAGGAAGCCCCGGCUAACUACGUGCCAGCAGCCGCGGUAAUACGUAGGGGGCUAGCGUUAUCCGGAUUUACUGGGCGUAAAGGGUGCGUAGGCGGUCUUUCAAGUCAGGAGUGAAAGGCUACGGCUCAACCGUAGUAAGCUCUUGAAACUGGGAGACUUGAGUGCAGGAGAGGAGAGUGGAAUUCCUAGUGUAGCGGUGAAAUGCGUAGAUAUUAGGAGGAACACCAGUUGCGAAGGCGGCUCUCUGGACUGUAACUGACGCUGAGGCACGAAAGCGUGGGGAGCAAACAGGAUUAGAUACCCUGGUAGUCCACGCUGUAAACGAUGAGUACUAGGUGUCGGGGGUUACCCCC